AAAAAAGAAACAAAAAUCGAAAAAGGUUAUUGAUUGAAAAAAGUAUUGAGAUAGAAUCCACACCUUCACGAAAAAAACCAAAAAAAAAAAAUUCACACAUUCAUUACAAAAUCUCACACUAUUCAAUUAAAAGUUCAGAUCAUCGUCUAUAU
rnacentral:sRNA from 1 species